rnacentral:sRNA from 1 species
AGACAAGGGCAACGGGCACAAUGGAACCAUAUGAGGUAAUGGAAACCGCAGAUGUGGUACUUCCAAGGAAGUGAAAUUUGAGAAACGCCAGCCACAAGAUAAGCAACAAAGCAUAGGCCAAACAAAGCGUGUGUUCAGCUAAACUUUUCAAGGGGUUCUAAGGAGCGAUGUCACUCACAUCAAUUACACGCGUCUUUCGAGCUGAUUUGCUUUGGGACGAGCUGGUCUUGACGCCUGGCAACCCAAAUCAAAGUCAAAUGCUAAUGUUCCAAGAGUAUCCUAGAUUUAUGUUGUACGAAUAUUAUAAGAACCUUUAAAUUUUCCUCAAUUUUUUAUUCUAUCAUAAUCAUGAUUUGUCGUAAGUCAUAUUUAAUCGCAGUAAUUUAUGUGCGCAAUGAUCGGUAUAUAUUUAAAUGCUUAAAAAUAAAAUUUCAGCUUGGCGACCCCAAUUCCCUGUGCAAAAAUAGAAUUUGGCAGAACCGAAAGCAAAAGCUUGGUCUAAAUAGAUUUCCCCGGUUUCGAGGAGUUGCGGUCCACCCUCCGGGAACAUGGAACACGGAGGCCUGUGGAAAAACAGGUUAAGCUCCCCGAUUGAUUUUCUCUCGUGCCACCGACGCAUCAAUUACGCUGGCCUGGCAUUAAUUAUCGUCUGGCGUAUGCAUUUGCUGGGCUUACCUUAUGCCCGUUAUGCCUCAGGGUUGCCAUGUGUUUGCCGUGGAAGGGGUGGCGACCCCAGGAAGGGAUGGGGCCUUCUUCCGAAGCGGGGUUGGGACCGCUUAUCGUUGUUUGCCUUUUAAUUUUUAUUGCUUUUGGCGUGCAGGAGCGGGAGGGGGAGCGCGGAGCGCACCCCACAACUGUUUGUUCAACGCUCAACAUACUGAAUAUGCUAUUUUCGUGUUCAUAUUCCACAUGCAUCACAGUCCCCGGAUAAAGACCAAAGACCCGGGCGACACUCAUACACACCCAGAAGCACAGACAGAAUACUGGGAAGUAUCUUUCAUUAUUGUUAAGCAAUGACUAUGAUCAGUUUUGUAAACUUAACAUAACCAGGAACUGGUGCAAAUGAGGUAACUAUAUAUUGCAAUUACCCAUUUAUUAUUGGACAUGGUUUCUUACAGUGUAGAAUUGCAGCUGAUUUGUGCUUAUUCUUCCGUCCAUUCGUUUAACACUCCUGUGAUUGGGUCAAUUGCAUUUGUUGUUCUUGCAUCUUGGCUAUCUUCCUUUCCCCUUCAUUCCCCCUUAUCAACGCUAUUGCCACUUCCUUCGUUGCACUACAUCCGUGCGGCUUUCGAGAUUUGUUUGCGUGUAUGGAUGGUUCUCUCUAACUAUAUUUCUCUCCCUUGCCCGCCUGCGUGGAACUCCGGAAGAGGUAGGGAGCAAGAGGAA